AUCCAGCUGACGAGUCCCAAAUAGAACCAAACGGGAGUCCUGGAU
rnacentral:hammerhead_ribozyme from 1 species